rnacentral:rRNA from 1 species
UACGAAGGGGGCUAGCGUUGCUCGGAAUCACUGGGCGUAAAGGGUGCGUAGGCGGGUCUUUAAGUCAGGGGUGAAAUCCUGGAGCUCAACUCCAGAACUGCCUUUGAUACUGAAGAUCUUGAGUGCGGGAGAGGUGAGUGGAACUGCGAGUGUAGAGGUGAAAUUCGUAGAUAUUCGCAAGAACACCAGUGGCGAAGGCGGCUCACUGGCCCGAUACCGACGCUGAGGCACGAAAGCGUGGGGAGCAAACAGG